GACGAAGGUGGCAAGCGUUGUUCGGAAUCACUGGGCAUAAAGCGCACGUAGGCGGCGGCGUAAGUUGGGUGUGAAAUCCCUCGGCCUAACCGAGGAACUGCGCCCAGUACUGCGUUGCUUGAGGAUCAAAGGGGUGCAUGGAAUUCCCGGUGGAGCGGUGAAAUGCGUUGAUAUCGGGAGGAACUCCGGCGGCGAAAGCGGUGCACUGGUUGAUUUCUGACGCUGAGGUGCGAAAGCCAGGGGAGCAAACAGG
rnacentral:rRNA from 1 species